AAAAGCAUCUCAGCAUGCACAAAACAUUGAACCUUAAGGUGGAUGGGCUACAACAGCAGCCAAGAACAAGAAUCUGAGGCUAUCAUGGGCACAGACUGGACAGUUGAAGACUGGAAAAGGUGAUUUUUAUUUUUAUUUAUUUUUUCUCUAAUCUUCAACUGUCCAGUUUCUGUGAGCCUGUGUUCAUGAUAUUUUGUGCAUGCUGAGAUGCUUUGCUGCUGUAAAGAGUGCUUAAUUGAGUUACUAUAUCUUUCCCAGGAGCUUGAACCAAUGUGGCCAUUCUCCUCUGAUCUCACUUAUGAACAAGGCAUUUUCACCCACAGAAUUGUCACUUACUCUAUAGUUUUUGAUUUUUGCACCAUUCUGUGUAAACUCUAGAUACUUUUGCGUGUGAAUUUCCAGUAGAUCAGCAGUUUUUGAAAUACUCAAACCAGUCCAUCUGGCAACAACAUCCAUGCCACGGGUUAAAAUCUACCAGUAGACAAGCUUGACCUGUCUGGCGCCUGAAAUUAUUUCUGGGACUGCCACCAUUUCAACUUUUAAUAUGAAUGCAGUGAUCUGGCUGGUGACAUCAUGUACCUGGCAGCAAAAUUCAUCCCCCAGAAAAGAGUGGGUCAAGUCUUGUUGGAAGAGGGGAAUGUCCAUGCAGAAAUGGGCAAAACAGAAGACUGCAGCAGGAAGACCUUGAAAGCUGUAAAGGAUGCUUUGGAGACUAAUCGGGAAACACGUGACCUGGCAACACAUGGUCUUGGCCCUGCUGUUAUAAAAGGCACUUUUUCCAUUCAUUUUUGCAUGUCUUAAACAUGAGAGCACUGAAAUCAAAAGACUCCACAGAUGAGUAAGGUUUUCCCCACUUUAUUUUAUAUUUUCACUGUUUCUUUGUUUUUUGUUGUUGUUGAUGUACACUGUUCAGCAGUACAAGAAAAAUAAAUGACAUGACAAAUAAUUUCAUGAUUGAUUUUGAUCUGCUUACAGUUGUAGAUGAUUGAAACCUCACUACACAUACUUAGAGCCUGUUUAUGAUGCGUUUUUAAGAGAGAGAGACUCAAUACAGUGAGCAAUAAGCAACAAGAAGUUCAUUUAUAGAUUUCAUUGCCAUAUCAGAUGUUUUGCUUCUUUUUAUAUGCAAUUUUUGAAUGGAAGAUGCCAAGGACAAUUUAACAUGGUGUUUACUUUAGUAAACACUGCAGUAGAUACAAAGCUUCCAUCAUUUUUGACUAUGGUUUUUACUAUCUUACUACAACUUAAACCAAAUUCAAGUUUCUGCUUUGUGUUGAAUUCAAUAGUCAAGUCGGUGUGGUGUGAAAGUAUCCGUAUCAGACUGGUUUUCAAUGUUGUGCACCAUUCACUGUAAAGCACUCAAAGUGCACUCUUUCUAUGCACUUAACCUUAUUAAAUUUUUGUAAAGAACUUUUGAAAUUUUAUAAUGUCCAUCUGCCUUGGUUUUAGUAAUUCCUAUUAA